rnacentral:rRNA from 1 species
GAUGAACGCUGGCGGCGUGCCUAAUACAUGCAAGUCGAGCGAACAGAUGAGGAGCUUGCUUCUCUGACGUUAGCGGCGGACGGGUGAGUAACACGUGGAUAACCUACCUAUAAGACUGGGAUAACUUCGGGAAACCGGAGCUAAUACCGGAUAAUAUAUUGAACCGCAUGGUUCAAUAGUGAAAGACGGAUUUGCUGUCACUUAUAGAUGGAUCCGCGCCGCAUUAGCUAGUUGGUAAGGUAACGGCUUACCAAGGCAACGAUGCGUAGCCGACCUGAGAGGGUGAUCGGCCACACUGGAACUGAGACACGGUCCAGACUCCUACGGUAGGCAGCAGUAGGGAAUCUUCCGCAAUGGGCGAAAGCCUGACGGAGCAACGCCGCGUGAGUGAUGAAGGUCUUCGGAUCGUAAAACUCUGUUAUUAGGGAAGAACAAAUGUGUAAGUAACUAUGCACGUCUUGACGGUACCUAAUCAGAAAGCCACGGCUAACUACGUG